AGUAAUUUGACUGUGCAAAGGUAGCAUAAUCAUUAGUUUUUUAAUUAAAAGCUUGAAUGAAUGAUUGGACGAGAUAAAUUCUGUCUUUAUAUAAAAAUUAGAAUUUAAUUUUUAAGUUAAAAAGCUUAAAUGUGUUUAAAAGACGAGAAGACCCUAUAGAUCUUAAUUUAUUAUUUAUAAAAAAAAUUUAGAAUAAUUUUAGAAUUAUAAAGAGAUAAAUUUUAUUGGGGUAAUAUAAAGAUUAAAUUAAUUCUUUAGGAUAUUAACAUUAAUAAGUGAAUGUUUGAUCCAAUAUAUUGAAUAUAAGAUUAAGUUACCUUAGGGAUAACAGCGUAAUUUUUUUGGAGAGUUCAUAUCGAUAAAAAAGUUUGCGACCUCGAUGUUGGAUUAAAAUUAAUUUUAAAUGUAGGAGUUUAAAAAUUUAGUCUGUUCGACUAUUAAAAUUUU
rnacentral:rRNA from 1 species